rnacentral:rRNA from 1 species
GAUGAACGCUGGCGGCGUGCCUAAUACAUGCAAGUCGAGCGAACAGACGAGGAGCUUGCUCCUCUGACGUUAGCGGCGGACGGGUGAGUAACACGUGGAUAACCUACCUAUAAGACUGGGAUAACUUCGGGAAACCGGAGCUAAUACCGGAUAAUAUAUUGAACCGCAUGGUUCAAUAGUGAAAGACGGUUUUGCUGUCACUUAUAGAUGGAUCCGCGCCGAAUUAGCUAGUUGGUAAGGUAACGGCUUACCAAGGCAACGAUGCGUAGCCGACCUGAGAGGGUGAUCGGCCACACUGGAACUGAGACACGUUCCAGACUCCUACGGGAGGCAGCAGUAGGGAAUCUUCCGCAAUGGGCGAAAGCCUGACGGAGCAACGCCGCGUGAGUGAUGAAGGUCUUCGGAUCGUAAAACUCUGUUAUUAGGGAAGAACAAAUGUGUAAGUAACUAUGCACGUCUUGACGGUACCUAAUCAGAAAGCCACGGCUAACUACGUG